rnacentral:rRNA from 1 species
UACGUAGGGUGCAAGCGUUAAUCGGAAUUACUGGGCGUAAAGCGUGCGCAGGCGGUGCUGUAAGACAGGCGUGAAAUCCCCGGGCUUAACCUGGGAAUGGCGCUUGUGACUGCAGUGCUGGAGUGCGGCAGAGGGGGAUGGAAUUCCGCGUGUAGCAGUGAAAUGCGUAGAUAUGCGGAGGAACACCGAUGGCGAAGGCAAUCCCCUGGACCUGUACUGACGCUCAUGCACGAAAGCGUGGGGAGCAAACAGG